rnacentral:rRNA from 1 species
UUAGAGGAAGUAAAAGUCGUAACAAGGUUUCCGUAGGUGAACCUGCGGAAGGAUCAUUAUAGAACAACCAAUAUAAUAUCAAGGAAAGGAGGAGGGUAGAGAGACUGUCGCCGGGUUAGACUUUGACCAGUCCAGCGUCGUGCACGUCCCCUCACCUUCGACUAUCUGAGAUAUAUAUAUUAACACACACCUGUGCACCUUUUGUAGAUUCCCCCCUUUCGAGAGAGGGGUGGUGGCGAUCUAUGUUUUCAUCAUAUCACACACAUCGUAUGGCCAGAAUGUAACAAACGAAUGAUAAUACAACUUUCAGCAACGGAUCUCUUGGUUCUCGCAUCGAUGAAGAACGCAGCGAAUUGCGAUAAGUAAUGUGAAUUGCAGAUUUCCAGUGAAUCAUCGAAUCUUUGAACGCAUCUUGCGCUCCUUGGUAUUCCGAGGAGCAUGCCUGUUUGAGUGUCAUUCAAAUCAUCAACCAAAUAUUCAUUUAUUUGGCUUGGAGUUGGGAGCUGCUGGCAGCGAUGUCAGCUCUCCUCAAAUGCAUUAGCGAUCGAGUUGGCUAGUCUUUGACGUACACGGCCUUGGACGUGAUAAUGAUCGUCCUGGCUGGAGCGUUUUUCCUAGACUAUGUACAUAGGUCGCUUCCAAUCAUGAAUGGAGACGGAAGAGGGGAGAAGGAUAGAGAGAGUCUGGUCUUGGUCUAUCGAGCUUAGCUACUAGGCAGUCUUUUGAUCAGAAAGGCUGGCGAACGCAAGUGAAAUACAAGUGCUAGCUCUCUAUCUGUCUGUCUUUCUUUCUUUCUUUCUUCUCCAACAUCGACAUUGGACUUGACCUCAAAUCARGUAGGACUACCCGCUGAACUUAAKCAUAUCAAU